rnacentral:lncRNA from 1 species
UGUGAAUUUAACUUAUACCUGUGGGCUAAAUACAGAAUAAGUGCAGCCCAGGCACUAGGAACGUGGGCAUCAGAACUAGAGCACGUGGGUUCUAAAUCCAGCGCCAAAGACUCACUAGCUGUGUGACCACAGGAAUAUUCCUGAACCCCUCUGUGGCUCAUCUUUGUCAACUGUAAAAGGGGAUUACCAUAUACUGUAUUCCCUACCACCUGCAAAGCUGUGAGGAUUAAGUAACUGAAUACAAAUACAAUCCUUAUUGCUUAGUAAAUAUUAGUUAUUAAUGUGGGUUGAACAACAUGAAAUUACCAUUCUGAAAGUCGCAAACAGUCAAAUAUUAGCAAAUUCAUUUGAUUUUACAUUUGUCGAAACAUGAAUCUAGUGGCGUUUUCCUGUUUCCCCAUUCAGCCUCCCCUGAAGAAGACCCAUCUUCUCUACCUUUGGGAUAAAUGCUCAGGGCGAUUCCCUGUGCCGGGAACACAUCCGAUUGCACUGGCGUGGUCAUGUGACCGGAGUACUAUCCACUCAGCUGCCUUCUGCUCUGUGUCGGCCUCCUGUGAGGUUCUACUCCCUCUCGUUGGGAGCCCUAUGUUACGGAAGUGUGCUGCGAGAACAAGGAGGGCUCUGAAUCAAGCAGCAUAAAAACGUAAGAAAUAAAGGGGCCUUUCAUUUAUGUAUAUGUGUACGA